GCUGGGUAUGGUGGUGGAUGCCUGUAAUCCCAGCAACUUGGGAGGCUGAGGCAGGAGGAUCAUGAGUUCAAAGCCAGCUUCAGCAAAAGCGAGGCACUAAGCAACUUAGUGAGACCCUGUUUCUA
rnacentral:sRNA from 1 species